rnacentral:rRNA from 1 species
UACAGAGGGUGCGAACGUUGCUCGGAAUCACUGGGCGUAAAGCGCGUGUAGGCGGGCGAUCAAGUCAGGCGUGAAAUCCCCGGGCUCAACCCGGGAACUGCGUCUGAAACUGGUUGCCUUGAGUGUCGGAGAGGGAAGCGGAAUUCCUGGUGUAGAGGUGAAAUUCGUAGAUAUCAGGAGGAACACCGGUGGCGAAGGCGGCUUCCUGGACGACUACUGACGCUGAGACGCGAAAGCGUGGGGAGCAAACAGGAUUAGAAACCCCAGUAGUCC